GUUGUAGAAGCAAAGAUAGUUUCUGGUAACAAUUGCGGGACUAGGGUGUUGAUACCAAGGAUGUCGAUGACUCCGACUGAUAUAAGAUUGCCUUUCAAAUUUCAAAGAAGGCAAUUUCCGCUUAUGCUGUCAUAUGCAAUGACCAUUAAUAAAAGCCAAGGACAGACGCUAUCUCAUGUUGGACUAAUAUUGAAAAAAC